rnacentral:rRNA from 1 species
UUCCUACGGGGCGCAGCAGUGGGGAAUAUUGCACAAUGGGGGAAACCCUGAUGCAGCAACGCCGCGUGAGUGAAGAAGUCAUUCGUGAUGUAAAGCUCUAUCAGCAGGGAAGAAAAUGACGGUACCUGACUAAGAAGCCCUGGCUAACUACGUGCCAGCAGCCGCGGUAAUACGUAGGGGGCAAGCGUUAUCCGGAUUCACUGGGUGUAAAGGGAGCGUAGACGGCCAUGCAAGCCUGGAGUGAAAGCCCGGGGCCCAACCCCGGGACUGCUCUGGGAACUGUGCGGCUGGAGUGCGGGGGGGGG